rnacentral:ncRNA from 1 species
UCCGUUGAAUUUAAGCAUAUGACUAAGCGGAAGGGAAGGAACUUGCGAAGAUUUCCCUAAUAACGGCAAGUGAACGGGAA